rnacentral:tRNA from 1 species
GGAAGGGUGGCCGAGUGGUUUAAGGCGCCUGUCUUGAAAACAGGUUUGGUGAAAGCCAACGUGGGUUCGAAUCCCUCCCCUUCCGCCA